rnacentral:tRNA from 1 species
GAAGUUACAGCUCAGUGGUAGUGUGCGUGCUUAGCAUGCACAAAGUCCUGGGUUCAAUCCCUAGUACCUCCA